CAUGUUGGCAUAUGAUAAUUAAUCAUAAUUAUGAGUCUGUAUGUGUAUAUUUUGUUAGCAUACCUUUUUAUGCCCUUUUAAACGGUGACUUUCGUACUGAAUGGCAGGUUACAUCCAAAUGUAAUUUUACAUCUUACUCUGUUUUUACUCUGCAUUACGCUGCCAAAGCCAACAGAAAGACACUAUUCCCAGACAGAGAACCCAGUAUUUGAACAGGGACUCAAACCAGCAACUUGAAGGUUACUAGUUGGCUGCUCUGACCUGUUCAAGUUGCCCAUCUAUUAUUUCUAACACAGGAUGCAAGAAAUCCACCCUGAACAUUCCUGUUGCCACGAGGAGAUUAACAGAGACUUCUAAAUACACUUACACUAGCCUUCCAACCAGUCACUGCACCUGUAAAAGAAAAAUACUUACCAGUUACUCACCUGCCUGUCUACUCUCCACCAACUCUCUCUGCCCAUCUGAAAUCUCAUAUGCCUGCAGAAUGCAAGACCUGAGAAGACCAAAUGGAGGGGAAAAAAAGAUCCUGCUGAGCAACUGUUUAAAUACAGUCACCUACAGGUGCCUAAUUAAAGUGAUCUAGGCCAUGUCCAGUGAGAUCUAGGUCAUCUCCAGCAAAGCAGGGCAAGAAGACUUCUUGUCACUUAACUAGUAAAAAAAACCCAUUUUGGCCAUUUCAAGCAACACAUUAAACUGCAAAAACUGUUAUUUUUUUUAGCAAAGAAAUUGAUGAAUGUGUCUACAAACUGUAAUUUAAAGUUUUCUUGUUUACUUGUGCUUCCUGAUCAAUUUAACUUCAGAAUUUUAGUACUUCAAAGAGUUUCAUUGUAUCCACUAACUGAUUCUGGCAUGUCUGAGCCUUGCUGUGUUACAGAGCUUUUUCUUUGAGAAAAUUUACCUGAUUAUCAAUAGGAGUAUAGAGAGUAAACCAAGUGAACCAAAACUUCAGUGUUAUGAAACCAAUGUAAUUAAUUAUAGAAUUAUAAAUGUUACAUAAAGCUCACUCAGGUAAUAAUUCUCAGUGGGAUUCACUUGGUUCUUCAAGUGACAGCUUUGAGGUAUGACCAGGAUAAAAAUGAGAACAAACCUUGAAUUUUAGUCAGAAAUGCCAAAUAUUUGUUCAACUUUGAGAAGGUAUAUUACAAUCUAACUUAUUGUACUUUGUAUAUAGUAAAUUAUAUAGUCAGAGAAUAACCUGCACCUUGGCUUCAAGGGUGUGUGAGAUGAAAAAAGUUUAUAUGAGCUAUAUUUGAAUUAUCUGUAUCAUUUUAGGGUGUUUACUUUAUAAUAUAAAGCACCUUCAGGGGACUGUUGUUGUGAUUUGGUGGUAUAUAAAUAAAAUGUAACUGAAUUUUAACAGUUAAAAACAUGUUUGGGUAAGAGAACUUGUAUUGCACUUUUGCUGAAGGCUCUGGCAAU